rnacentral:rRNA from 1 species
CAGUCGCCACGGGAAUACGUAGGGUGCAAGCGUUAAUCGGAAUUACUGGGCGUAAAGCGUGCGCAGGCGGUUAUAUAAGACAGAUGUGAAAUCCCCGGGCUCAACCUGGGAACUGCAUUUGUGACUGGCGGGCUAGAGUAUGGCAGAGGGGGGUAGAAUUCCACGUGUAGCAGUGAAAUGCGUAGAGAUGUGGAGGAAUACCGAUGGCGAAGGCAGCCCCCUGGGCCAAUACUGACGCUCAUGCACGAAAGCGUGGGGAGCGAACAGGAUUAGAUACCCCCGUAGUCCCUGUCUCUUAUAC